rnacentral:rRNA from 1 species
GACGAACGCCGGCGGCGUGCUUAACACAUGCAAGUCGAACGGAAAGGCCCUGCUUUUGUGGGGUGCUCGAGUGGCGAACGGGUGAGUAACACGUGAGUAACCUGCCCUUGACUUUGGGAUAACUUCAGGAAACUGGGGCUAAUACCGGAUAGGAGCUCCUGCUGCAUGGUGGGGGUUGGAAAGUUUCGGCGGUUGGGGAUGGACUCGCGGCUUAUCAGCUUGUUGGUGGGGUAGUGGCUUACCAAGGCUUUGACGGGUAGCCGGCCUGAGAGGGUGACCGGCCACAUUGGGACUGAGAUACGGCCCAGACUCCUACGGGAGGCAGCAGUGGGGAAUAUUGCACAAUGGGCGGAAGCCUGGUGCAGCAACGCCGCGUGCGGGAUGACGGCCUUCGGGUUGUAAACCGCUUUCGCCUGUGACGAAGCGUGAGUGACGGUAAUGGGUAAAGAAGCACCGGCUAACUACGUGCCAGCAGCCGCGGUGAUACGUAGGGUGCGAGCGUUGUCCGGAUUUAUUGGGCGUAAAGGGCUCGUAGGUGGUUGAUCGCGUCGGAAGUGUAAUCUUGGGGCUUAACCCUGAGCGUGCUUUCGAUACGGGUUGACUUGAGGAAGGUAGGGGAGAAUGGAAUUCCUGGUGGAGCGGUGGAAUGCGCAGAUAUCAGAAGGAACACCAGUGGCGAAGGCGGUUCUCUGGGCCUUUCCUGACGCUGAGGAGCGAAAGCGUGGGGAGCGAACAGGCUUAGAUACCCUGGUAGUCCACGCUGUAAACGGUGGGUACUAGGUGUGGGGUCCAUUCCACGGGUUCCGUGCCGUAGCUAACGCUUUAAGUACCCCGCCUGGGGAGUACGGCCGCAAGGCUAAAACUCAAAGGAAUUGACGGGGCCCCGCACAAGCGGCGGAGCAUGCGGAUUAAUUCGAUGCAACGCGUAGAACCUUACCUGGGUUUGACAUGGAUCGGGAGUGCUCAGAGAUGGGUGUGCCUCUUUUGGGGUCGGUUCACAGGUGGUGCAUGGCUGUCGUCAGCUCGUGUCGUGAGAUGUUGGGUUAAGUCCCGCAACGAGCGCAACCCUUGUUCACUGUUGCCAGCACGUUAUGGUGGGGACUCAGUGGAGACCGCCGGGGUCAACUCGGAGGAAGGUGGGGAUGACGUCAAGUCAUCAUGCCCCUUAUGUCCAGGGCCUCACGCAUGCUACAAUGGCUGGUACAGAGAGUGGCGAGCCUGUGAGGGUGAGCGAAUCUCGGAAAGCCGGUCUCAGUUCGGAUUGGGGUCUGCAACUCGACCUCAUGAAGUCGGAGUCGCUAGUAAUCGCAGAUCAGCAACGCUGCGGUGAAUACGUUCCCGGG